rnacentral:rRNA from 1 species
UACCAGCACCCCGAGUGGUCGGGACGUUUAUUGGGCCUAAAGCAUCCGUAGCCGGUUCUGCAAGUCUUCCGUUAAAUCCACCUGCUUAACAGAUGGGCCGCGGAAGAUACUAUAGAGCUAGGAGGCGGGAGAGGCAAGCGGUACUCGAUGGGUAGGGGUAAAAUUCGUUGAUCCAUUGAAGACCACCAGUGGCGAAGGCGGCUUGCCAGAACGCGAUCGACGGUGAGGGAUGAAAGCUGGGGGAGCAAACCGG